rnacentral:rRNA from 1 species
GAGGGAUGCAAGCGUUAUCCGGAAUUAUUGGGCGUAAAGCGUUUGUAGGCGGGCGAGUGUGUUUAAUGUUAAAUCUUAAAGCUCAACUUUGAAAUUGCGUUAAAAACUGCUUGUCUUGAGUAUGGUAGGGGUAAAGGGAAUUCCCAGUGUAGCGGUGAAAUGCGUAGAUAUUGGGAAGAACACUAAACAGCGAAGGCACUUUACUAGGCUAAUACUGACGCUGAGAAACGAAAGGUAAGGUAGCGAAACGGAUUAGAUACCCGUGUAGUCUUACCCGUAAACUAUGGACACUAAACGGUAAAUUUUUAAUUUACUGUUAAAGCUAACGCGUUAAGUGUCCCGCCUGGGGAGUAUGCUUGCAAAAGUGAAACUCAAAGGAAUUGACGGGGGCCCGCACAAGCGGUGGAGCAUGUGGUUUAAUUCGACGGUACACGAAGAACCUUACCAGGAUUUGACAUGCUAGAUAGUUGCUUGAAAGAGUAACGUGCCGUAAGGAAUCUAGACACAGGUGGUGCAUGGCUGUCGUCAGUUCGUGUUGUGAAAUGUUGGGUUAAGUCCCGCAACGAACGCAACCCUUGUCUUUAGUUAUUUUCUAAAGAGACUGCCUGUAAUAAACAGGAGGAAGGUAAGGAUGAGGUCAAGUCAUCAUGCCCCUUAUGUCCUGGGCUACACACGUGCUACAAUGGGAAAGACAAUGAGCUGCAAAUCUGUAAAUUUAAGCAAAUCUCUUAAACUUUCUCGUAGUUCGGAUUGUGGGCUGCAACUCGCCCACAUGAAGUUGGAAUCGCUAGUAAUCGCCAGUCAGCUAUAUGGCGGUGAAUCCGUUCCCGGGCCU